ACAUCAGUGAGGUCUAUCCUUACCUGUUAUCUUCAAAUUAAGAUUACAGAACAUGAUGAUUGGAUUUUAUGAAUAUAUGAUAUGAUUAUAUUCUAUUUGCUUGGAAAUUGCAACUCCUUAACAAAUCCUGUCUGAU